UACGUAGGGUGCAAGCGUUGUCCGGAAUUAUUGGGCGUAAAGAGCUCGUAGGCGGUGUGUCACGUCGGCCGUGAAAACCUGCAGCUUAACUGUGGGCGUGCGGUCGAUACGGGCAUCACUGGAGUUCGGCAGGGGAGACUGGAAUUCCUGGUGUAGCGGUGAAAUGCGCAGAUAUCAGGAGGAACACCGAUGGCGAAGGCAGCUCGCUGGGACGGUACUGACGCUGGAGGCGCGAAAGCGUGGGGAGCAAACAGG
rnacentral:rRNA from 1 species